GACGAACGCUGGCGGCGUGCUUAACACAUGCAAGUCGAACGGAAAGGCCCUGCUUUUGUGGGGUGCUCGAGUGGCGAACGGGUGAGUAACACGUGAGUAACCUGCCCUUGACUUUGGGAUAACUUCAGGAAACUGGGGCUAAUACCGGAUAGGAGCUCCUGCUGCAUGGUGGGGGUUGGAAAGUUUCGGCGGUUGGGGAUGGACUCGCGGCUUAUCAGCUUGUUGGUGGGGUAGUGGCUUACCAAGGCUUUGACGGGUAGCCGGCCUGAGAGGGUGACCGGCCACAUUGGGACUGAGAUACGGCGCAGACUCCUACGGGAGGCAGCAGUGGGGAAUAUUGCACAAUGGGCGGAAGCUUGAUGCAGCAACGCCGCGUGCGGGAUGACGGCCUUCGGGUUGUAAACCGCUUUCGCCUGUGACGAAGCGUGAGUGACGGUAAUGGGUAAAGAAGCACCGGCUAACUACGUG
rnacentral:rRNA from 1 species